UACAGAGGUCUCAAGCGUUGUUCGGAUUCAUUGGGCGUAAAGGGUGCGUAGGUGGCGGGGUAAGUCAGGUGUGAAAUCUCGGAGCUCAACUCCGAAACUGCACUUGAUACUGCCUUGCUCGAGUACUGGAGAGGAGAUUGGAAUUUACGGUGUAGCAGUGAAAUGCGUAGAUAUCGUAAGGAAGACCAGUGGUGAAGGCGAAUCUCUGGACAGUUACUGACACUGAGGCACGAAGGCCAGGGGAGCAAACAGG
rnacentral:rRNA from 1 species